CGGCAUGGUUUGUAGCAAAUUGAACACCACCAGCCGCUCGUGCAUCACGAUGUCCGCCGAGGCCAACUCACGGAUAGUUCGGACGGAAGUUCUUCCCGUCGAAAAGGUAGGGCUUUAAUUCGGCUUGCAUCUUCUUCGGUGAAAAAAAUUUCUUCAGCCUAACAAUCUUCCGUCUCCAAGGUUACGGUAAUCUGGGCCCAUAACCUGUCUUGAAUAGCAGAGUUAAUGAAAAGUCGAACUGCUUCUUGUGACGGUAUAAUUGUAAGUGAUCUUUAUUUAUUCUAAUUACAGACAUGAUUCAGGGGGUGAGAAACUCGGCUCACUGUGCCCGGCACACUUUUCUGCACAGCACCGCACUUCUGGGCACACUUCCUAUAUUUUUUUUUCUGCAGGAUUAGAUUUGACAGCUAAAACUUUGUUGUUGUUCGCCCCGGCUCAACAAGCUUGUUUGAGUCGAAACAAAUCGCAAUGAACACUGCCAUCGAGAACGAGAUAUUCAAAGCAAAUAGCUUCCUAAACAUUUCCAAAAUCUUCUGUCUGAACAAAAAAUCCAGGUUGACCAGCAAUUUGUCAAACUAUGAAACUUCAUAAAUGCCCAUCGGAGCUUUCCGAAUUGGUGAAUCUCCUGCUAUACCGUCCAAUGGAAGGGACCGUCGAGGGGACUAUAAUUGACGACCAACGAUCGUGUUACUCCAUAAGCAUGCUACUUUGCUAUGAAAGAUUCAGCCCUGUACGGCUGCGCUUAGUAGGUCUCCGCCCUGGUCUCCGCUGAUAAUGAAGCAGAAAACCGAAAGAGACAGGCAGAGGAACAACAGGCAUCCGGUUUAUCCCGCGGGAAAGAAAAUAAAGACAGAUACGUGCUAAUAUGUGGCGGGAGAGAGUAAAUCCGCUGCUAGUAAAGGCAAAGCAACUGAGGAAGAAGUUACGGAGGAGUUGGCAAAUUAUCUCGCGAAAAACAUGUGUUAGUAAUUGAUAAGAUUAGUUUCUGAUCGUUAAUAAAAAAUUAUUCAAAAUAUUAAUACUAACAAAUUCAACCUUACGUUCAAGAUGCCAUUAAUAGCUAGACAACAGAUUUUUAUUAUUGAUUUGCUGAAAAAACAUUAGCAGCGCCAUGCUACGGUCACGUACCAUCUCGUAAACGAUCUCUCAGCUGUCUCGAUCGCUUCUUGUCUGGUGAUAUCCAUAGUACCCUCGUCAGGUCAAUGCUUAGCUCAUCGGUGCCGGAGGCAUUGUAGAUUGGCAAGAUUGG